GACCUCGGAUCAGGCCAGGCUACCCGCUGAAUUUAAGCAUAUUAAUAAGCGGAGGAGAAGAAACUAACAAGGAUUCCCUCAGUAACGGCGAGCGAAGCGGGAAUAGCUCAAAUUUGAAAUCUCCGGUGCCUGCACCGGCGAAUUGUAGUCUGUAGGGCCAGUUUCGCCCGAGAUGGUGUCCCCAAAGUCGUCCUGGAAAGGCGGGCCGGAGAGGGUGAGAGCCCCGUGCGUGGGGGCACCGUCGAAGGUAAGAUCUGUGCCCGAAGAGUCGGGUUGUUUGAGAUUGCAGCCCAAAAUGGGUGGUAAACUCCAUCUAAAGCUAAAUACUGGCACGAGACCGAUAGCGAAC
rnacentral:rRNA from 1 species